AUACGUAGGGUGCGAGCGUUGUCCGGAAUUACUGGGCGUAAAGAGCUCGUAGGUGGUUUGUCGCGUCGUCUGUGAAAUUCCGGGGCUUAACUCCGGGCGUGCAGGCGAUACGGGCAUAACUUGAGUACUGUAGGGGAGACUGGAAUUCCUGGUGUAGCGGUGAAAUGCGCAGAUAUCAGGAGGAACACCGGUGGCGAAGGCGGGUCUCUGGGCAGUAACUGACGCGGAGGAGCGAAAGCAUGGGUAGCGAACAGGAUUAGAUACCCUGGUAGUCCAUGCUGUAAACGGUGGGCGCUAGGUGUAGGGGUCUUCCACGACUUCUGUGCCGUAGCUAACGCAUUAAGCGCCCCGCCUGGGGAGUACGGCCGCAAGGCUAAAACUCAAAGGAAUUGACGGGG
rnacentral:rRNA from 1 species